rnacentral:rRNA from 1 species
UACAGAGGUCCCAAGCGUUGUUCGGAUUCACUGGGCGUAAAGGGUGCGUAGGCGGUUUGAUAAGUCUGAUGUGAAAUCCCGCAGCUUAACUGCGGAACUGCAUUGGAAACUAUUUGACUAGAGGAAUGGAGGGGAGACUGGAAUUUACGGUGUAGCAGUGAAAUGCGUAGAGAUCGUAAGGAAGACCAGUGGCGAAGGCGGGUCUCUGGACAGUUCCUGACACUGAGGCACGAAGGCCAGGGGAGCAAACGGG